rnacentral:rRNA from 1 species
UACGUAGGUGGCGAGCGUUGUCCGGAAUUAUUGGGCGUAGAGAGCAUGUAGGCGGCUUAAUAAGUCGAGCGUGAAAAUGCGGGGCUCAACCCCGUAUGGCGCUGGAAACUGUUAGGCUUGAGUGCAGGAGAGGAAAGGGGAAUUCCCAGUGUAGCGGUGAAAUGCGUAGAUAUUGGGAGGAACACCAGUGGCGAAGGCGCCUUUCUGGACUGUGUCUGACGCUGAGAUGCGAAAGCCAGGGUAGCGAACGGG